rnacentral:rRNA from 2 species
ACGAACUCUGGUAUUGAUUGGUGCUUGCAUCAUGAUUUACAUUUGAGUGAGUGGCGAACUGGUGAGUAACACGUGGGAAACCUGCCCAGAAGCGGGGGAUAACACCUGGAAACAGAUGCUAAUACCGCAUAACAACUUGGACCGCAUGGUCCGAGCUUGAAAGAUGGCUUCGGCUAUCACUUUUGGAUGGUCCCGCGGCGUAUUAGCUAGAUGGUGGGGUAACGGCUCACCAUGGCAAUGAUACGUAGCCGACCUGAGAGGGUAAUCGGCCACAUUGGGACUGAGACACGGCCCAAACUCCUACGGGAGGCAGCAGUAGGGAAUCUUCCACAAUGGACGAAAGUCUGAUGGAGCAACGCCGCGUGAGUGAAGAAGGGUUUCGGCUCGUAAAACUCUGUUGUUAAAGAAGAACAUAUCUGAGAGUAACUGUUCAGGUAUUGACGGUAUUUAACCAGAAAGCCACGGCUAACUACGUGCCAGCAGCCGCGGUAAUACGUAGGUGGCAAGCGUUGUCCGGAUUUAUUGGGCGUAAAGCGAGCGCAGGCGGUUUUUUAAGUCUGAUGUGAAAGCCUUCGGCUCAACCGAAGAAGUGCAUCGGAAACUGGGAAACUUGAGUGCAGAAGAGGACAGUGGAACUCCAUGUGUAGCGGUGAAAUGCGUAGAUAUAUGGAAGAACACCAGUGGCGAAGGCGGCUGUCUGGUCUGUAACUGACGCUGAGGCUCGAAAGUAUGGGUAGCAAACAGGAUUAGAUACCCUGGUAGUCCAUACCGUAAACGAUGAAUGCUAAGUGUUGGAGGGUUUCCGCCCUUCAGUGCUGCAGCUAACGCAUUAAGCAU